rnacentral:rRNA from 1 species
UACGAGGGGGGCGAGCGUUGUUCGGAAUUAUUGGGCGUAAAGGGCGCGUAGGCGGUGCGGUAAGUCACCUGUGAAACCCCCGGGCUCAACUCGGGGCCUGCAGGCGAAACUGCCGUGCUGGAGUGCGGAAGAGGUGGGUGGAAUUCCCGGUGUAGCGGUGAAAUGCGUAGAUAUCAUUUGGAACGCCAACGGAGAAAUCAGGUAGCUGGGGGUGUGCUGACGCUGAGACACGAAAGCCAGGGGAGCGAACGGG